rnacentral:rRNA from 1 species
UGGGGAAUAUUGAACAAUGGAGGGAACUCUGAUGCAGCGACGCCGCGUGAACGAAGAAGGCUUUCGAGUCGUAAAGUUCUUUUAUAUGGGAAGAUAAUGACGGUACCAUAAGAAAAAGCCCCGGCUAACUACGUGCCAGCAGCCGCGGUAAUACGUAGGGGGCUAGCGUUGUCCGGAAUCACUGGGCGUAAAGGGUUCGCAGGCGGAAAUGCAAGUCAGGUGUAAAAGGCAGUAGCUUAACUACUGUAAGCAUUUGAAACUGCAUAUCUUGAGAAGAGUAGAGGUAAGUGGAAUUUUUAGUGUAGCGGUGAAAUGCGUAGAUAUUAAAAAGAAUACCGGUGGCGAAGGCGACUUACUGGGCUCAUUCUGACGCUGAGGAACGAAAGCGUGGGUAGCAAACAGG